rnacentral:rRNA from 1 species
AUUGAACGCUGGCGGCAGGCUUAACACAUGCAAGUCGAGCGGGCGGCGGACGGGUGCGUAAUGUAUGGGAAACUGCCUGAUGGAGGGGGAUAACUACUGUAAACGGUAGCUACUAUCGCAUACCCCCACUUGUGCCCAUAGGGGAUUCGCUAUUAGGUGGGGUAAUGGCUCACGUAGGCGACGAUACCUAGCUGGUCUGCACGUAUGACCAGCCAAACAGGAAAGGAGACACGGGCCAGAAUCAUACGUGAGGCAGCAGGGGGUAAUAUUGAACAAUGGGCGCAAGCCUGAUGCAGCCAUGACGCGUGUGUGAAGAAGGCUAUCGGGUUGUAAAGCACUGUCAGCGAAGAGGCGUUACUCACAGAGGAAGCACCGGCGAACGACGUGCCAGCAGCCGCGGUAAUUC